rnacentral:rRNA from 1 species
UACGUAGGGGGCAAGCGUUGUCCGGAAUCAUUGGGCGUAAUGUGCGUGUAGGCGGCUCGGUAAGUCUGCUGUGAAAGUCCAGGGCUCAACCCUGGGAUGCCGGUGGAUACUGUCGAGCUCGAGUCCGGAAGAGGCGAGUGGAAUUCCUGGUGUAGCGGUGAAAUGCGCAGAUAUCAGGAGGAACACCAAUUGCGAAGGCAGCUCGCUGGGACGUUACUGACGCUGAGACGCGAAAGCGUGGGGAGCAAACAGG